GACGAACGCUGGCGGCGUGCUUAACACAUGCAAGUCGAACGGAAAGGCCCUGCUUUUGUGGGGUGCUCGAGUGGCGAACGGGUGAGUAACACGUGAGUAACCUGCCCUUGACUUUGGGAUAACUUCAGGAAACUGGGGCUAAUACCGGAUAGGAGCUCCUGCUGCAUGGUGGGGGUUGGAAAGUUUCGGCGGUUGGGGAUGGACUCGCGGCUUAUCAGCUUGUUGGUGGGGUAGUGGCUUACCCAGGCUUUGACGGGUAGCCGGCCUGAGAGGGUGACCGGCCACAUUGGGACUGAGAUACGGCCCAGACUGCUACGGGAGGCAGCAGUGGGGAAUAUUGCACAAUGGGCGGAAGCCUGAUGCAGCAACGCCGCGUGCGGGAUGACGGCCUUCGGGUUGUAAACCGCUUUCGCCUGUGACGAAGCGUGAGUGACGGUAAUGGGUAAAGAAGCACCGGCUAACUACGUG
rnacentral:rRNA from 1 species